UCAUUUGACGAAUUGUUGAAAAAAGUAGGUCAUGUGAAGGUUGAUAAAAUAAAUCGCAGCCACAAAAAAUAACCACAUAGUAAAAUAACAGUUAAAAUUUUCGAUAAGGAUUUGAUUAAGGAACGUGAGUACUUGUAUGGUACGCGAAUACAUUCGUGUGAGUAUUCCAAUGUAACCCGAGAACCUUAACUGAACGAUCGUCUUGUGGAUCGAAAGAUAGCUUUUGAACGCAAUCUUCGUUGGGUAACUGGCGUAAAACAGAGCCAUCCGAGGGAUGCCCAAAUGGCCGAUUCCUGACUACGGUUUUUUGUGGCUUGCGGCCGUGAUCCGUCGGACGUAAACGUCCGCAAUGCAUUUCUAUGUUACCGGCAUUUCCAGCCGAGCGACUACGGCAGCAGUACUGUGCGCAGGAUGCUCAACCGGAACGCCGUACCGUCUGUAAGUACUAAUUAUAAUAGUAAACAGUAGUCGCUACAAUCGUCUUCGAAGAUUUCCCUCUAAGGUCAAUGUGUUACGGAGCAACAUAAUCAGGCCGACGUAAUAAAGUUGUGUAAUUAAUUUCAUGAACAAUCGUAGUAACGGUUACGGAAUGUGACGGUAUUAAUUCGUUCAAUUUUCAUAUUUCUUACAUAGCGUAUAUAUAUAUAUACAAAUAUACACAACACGUCAGGUUCCGUGCCCGAGUUAUCCUGGAUUGUAACAAUAAAUGUUAGCACCGUAUAGGAAAUUAGUCGCGUGGUGGACAUUGAUGUCGAUGAUGCUGGACCGUCCGGAGGAAACGCGUCGCUGGUGGUGCCAGUGGAAACGAUUUGUCAAUUCUGAAGGUGGAAAUUAUAGAAGUAGUGCCUGUUGGAACGUCACCAGAAAUUGUCGGACCGCUCGACGUGAACAGUUUUCAUUACACUACUGAAGUGGUCGGAGCUCCUGUCGAACCGUCGCCCGAAUUUGUCGACGUCGGGUCGGACGACGUCAGUAAAAUUAUUCAAUGGCUUUUAAAUACGAUUGAAAUAAAGACUUACAAUUCUUAUUAUUUUUUCUCUCCCAUUGUGUGUAAUUUGCCAUCGUCGAAGUUCCAAACGAACCACCUCUCGAUGUCGUCGACGUCGCACCGUCCGAAAAUAAUAAAAGUAAAACUCAAGUAAAGAAAAUUUUACAAGAAAUUCAAAAAUAAUAACUUCAAUGUUGUUUUCUCAAUAAAUAGCCCACAAAAACACUACAUACAGUAAAAAAACAUCAAACGCAUAUUCGUUUAAAAAAAGAUUCUAGAAGUUUAAUUUUUUAUGCCAAGUACGAUAAUUAUAUUAGAUUUAUUAUUUUAUGGACAGUUAAUUAAUGAUUAAUUACAAAUUUAACAAAAUUGAUUGUAUUAUUACAUUUUGUCGUAUCAAAAUCACUAUCAUAAAAGACGCUUCGAUGCAAAUCUGUAGAUAAUGUUUAAUUUAAAAAAAAAAUUUGUCAAAAAAGUAGGUCAAAUGAGAGCUGAGAAAAUAAAUGAUAGCUACAAAAAAAAAAC